rnacentral:rRNA from 1 species
UGCCAUCGGUUCGGCCGGGCACUCUGAAGGAACUGCCGGUGACAAGCCGGAGGAAGGUGGGGAUGACGUCAAGUCCUCAUGGCCCUUAUGGGCUGGGCUACACACGUGCUACAAUGGCGGUGACAGAGGGCAGCGAAGCCGUGAGGCAGAGCAAAUCCCUAAAAACCGUCUCAGUUCGGAUUGCACUCUGCAACUCGAGUGCAUGAAGGUGGAAUCGCUAGUAAUCGCGGAACAGCAUGCCGCGGUGAAUACGUUCCCGGGCCUUGUACACACCGCCCGUCACACCAUGGGAGUUGGUUUGACCCGAAGCCGGUGCGCUAACCCGCAAGGGGGGCAGCCGACCACGGUCAGGUCAGCGACUGGGGUG